CCACUUCCUGUGUGGAUGAGAGAAAAUUGGAAAAACUUGCAGCAGAGCUGGAGAAGCAAGACCUGCACAACUGUCAAUCAAGGAGACAUUCUAAAUGGAAUAGUGACCGGAGAAGGACAGUUGAAGGAAGGAUCAGUUAAACUGAAAACCUUGGUCUCUUGCCCUUGGGACAGAAAGGAGAAAGGACAGAAAGCUCCUCCCUAA
rnacentral:lncRNA from 1 species